rnacentral:tRNA from 1 species
GAGGGUAUAGUUCAGUGGUAGAGUGUGUGCUUAGCAUGCAUGAGGUCCUGGGUUCAAUCCCCAAUACCUCUA